rnacentral:rRNA from 1 species
UACGGAGGGUGCAAGCGUUGUUCGGAUUUAUUGGGCGUAAAGGGCGUGUAGGCGGUUCGUUAAGUCUGAUGUGAAAGCCCCGGGCUCAACCCGGGAAGUGCAUUGGAAACUGGCGAACUUGAGUACGGGAGAGGGCAGUGGAAUUCCUAGUGUAGGAGUGAAAUCCGUAGAUAUUAGGAGGAACACCGGUGGCGAAGGCGGCUGCCUGGAGCUUUGCUGACGCUGAGGCGCGAAAGCGUGGGGAGCGAACAGG